rnacentral:tRNA from 1 species
GCGAGGGUGGCGGAACUGGCAGACGCGCUGGACUUAGGAUCCAGUGCCUUCGGGCUUAGGGGUUCGAGUCCCCUCCCUCGCACCA